CGCGGCGCGGCGCGGCCCGCCCCUGGCGUCCACGGUCACCGCCGGUGACUUUCUGGACUCGUCGUCAGCCCGGGCCGCGGCGCGGCCGGUGGCGACCGCGGGGAGGGCCAGAGUACGUCCGAGGGCUCCCGCGCAAGGGGCUGCGGCCCUGGAGAGUUGCUGUAGAAGAGGGAUAAGAGAGGAAGACAACACAGGAGGAGAUAAGUCACUCUGGAUACAAGGGAAGGUAUCUUAAAGGAUGAAGACUUUCUUGAUGAACAGCAUCAGCAUUUUCUGUUGAUAAUAGCAACUGGCAAAUAAAGACUCUAAUGACACUGCUGUGCAGUGUGACUCUUCAAGUAGGCCCUGGAUUU
rnacentral:lncRNA from 1 species